UGAGGAAUAUUGCACAAUGGGCGCAAGCCUGAUGCAGCAACGCCGCGUGGAGGACGAAGGCCUUCGGGUUGUAAACUCCUUUUCUGAGGGACGAGCAAGGACGGUACCUCAGGAAUAAGUCUCGGCUAACUACGUGCCAGCAGCCGCGGUAAAACGUAGGAGGCGAGCGUUAUCCGGAUUUACUGGGCGUAAAGCGCACGCAGGUGGCUUAGCAAGUCGGACAUGAAAGCUCCUGGCUUAACUGGGAGAGGUGGUUCGAAACUGCUGAGCUUGAGGUUGGGAGAGGGACGUGGAAUUCCCGGUGUAGUGGUGGAAUGCGUAGAUAUCGGGAGGAACACCAGUGGCGCAAGCGGCGUCCUGGCCCACACCUGACGCUGAGGUGCGAAAGCGUGGGGAGCAAACAGG
rnacentral:rRNA from 1 species